UACGAAGGGGGCUAGCGUUGCUCGGAAUCACUGGGCGUAAAGGGUGCGUAGGCGGGCCUUUAAGUCAGGGGUGAAAUCCUGGAGCUCAACUCCAGAACUGCCUUUGAUACUGAGGAUCUUGAGUUCGGGAGAGGUGAGUGGAACUGCGAGUGUAGAGGUGAAAUUCGUAGAUAUUCGCAAGGACACCAGUGGCGAAGGCGGCUCACUGGCCCGGUACUGACGCUGAGGUGCGAAAGCGUGGGGAGCAAACAGG
rnacentral:rRNA from 1 species